UACCAGCACCCCGAGUGGUCGGGACGAUUAUUGGGCCUAAAGCAUCCGUAGCCGGUCCUGCAAGUCUUCCGUUAAAUCCAGCUGCUCAACAGAUGGGCUGCGGAGGAUACUACAGGGCUAGGAGGCGGGAGAGGCAAGCGGUACUUUAUGGGUAGGGGUAAAAUCCGUUGAUCCAUAGAAGACCACCAGUGGCGAAGGCGGCUUGCCAGAACGCGCUCGACGGUGAGGGAUGAAAGCUGGGGGAGCAAACCGG
rnacentral:rRNA from 3 species